UUGGAACUAUAAAUUCUGGCUCCUCUGGAAAAACACUUAUGUGCAUAGGGAAACUAAUGGCUCAUACGUUGUUUUUAAACCGGGCUAGAUGUAUAGUUCCAAAUUGCAAAAUGCAGUUCAAUUGAUACCCAUAAUCUCUCAGUAAAGUUCCUUCCGCUAUCUUGCAAAUCGUCGCCCUCCUGACGUAGGAAGGGCCGUAACCGCACUUCGCGAUGAACACUGAUAGUCUGUAUAACUCAUCGUUUUCUUGGGCUUAUCUGCAAGUGUAGUUUCGCCCUUAUGUCAGCCAUGCAACAAAGUGUCUGAUCUCACAGUAAUUUAUCCGCAAGUUGCUCAAAAGCAAUUAUCGAGUGAUUUUUUUCCAUUUAGAUAACUCUAGAAUCCUGCAGGUAUCCUGUCACUUUUAAUGUCUGCUAUUGGAAGGACAUAAAAUUGUAUUUAUACGUCCUUAUUUUAGAAGCGAUUUUAUACACUUUGGUACACGAAAAUGUAUCUUUCCAUCCUCUUUUUUACAAACUUAGAUCAAGCCAAAGUAAGUACUCCUCAAUCAAUAAUUUGAUGUAUUUCUGUCAAACGGAACUAAGCGCCAAUUUCAGUUCUUUUUGAGGAAAUUAGAAUGCCGGAUAGCGCGUUCUGUCAAACGGAACUAAGCGCCAUGGAAAAGCAUUGCGAGUGUAGGACGGAAUGAGCCCAACGCCCGAUUCCGUCGCCAAUCCAAGCCCCACUCUCCCUUCCUCCCCCAAUGGCGCUUAGUUCCGUUUGACAGAAAUACGUCCAAUUUAUCCUACCUAGUUAAUUUUGACUCUUCAUUUUCUUAGUCUUUCGGUAGUUAGGUUACAAUUUUUUUAUUUAUUAAACAAUAAAUAUAUCAAUAUUGUAUGUAAGUGACGUACGUUACGGAAUAAAAAGUUUCAAAGAUUUUUCUUGUUUGUUACUCAUUUGACUGAUUCCUGUUCGCUCAUGUAUUUUAAUGAUGAAAUCAUCCACUUUUCUUUCACGUACAGUACGUGAAACUUACCGAUCCAAAUUGAUGUGGUAAGUAGGCGCAGCCAAAUCUGGG
rnacentral:lncRNA from 1 species